GACAGAGGUGCCGAGCGUUAGGCGGAAUCACUGGGCUUAAAGCGUGUGUAGGCGGAUCGUUAAGUACCUUGUGAAAUCCCACGGCUCAACCGUGGAACUGCUGGGUAUACUGGCGGUCUUGAGCCACCUAGGGGCGAGCGGAACAAGCGGUGGAGCGGUGAAAUGCGUAGAUAUCGGAAGGAACACCGGUGGCGAAAGCGGCGCGCUGGACCUCUUCUGACGCUGAGGCGCGAAAGCCAGGGGAGCAAACGGG
rnacentral:rRNA from 1 species